GAUGAAUGCUGGCGGUAUGCUUAACACAUGCAAGUCGAACGGACUCUUCGGAGUUAGUGGCGGACGGGUGAGUAACGCGUGAGAAUCUGGCUUUGGGUUCGGGACAACCACUGGAAACGGUGGCUAAUACCGGAUGUGCCGAGAGGUAAAAGAGAAAUUGCCUGAAGAUGAGCUCGCGUCUGAUUAGCUAGUUGGUGAGGUAAAGGCUCACCAAGGCAGCGAUCAGUAGCUGGUCUGAGAGGAUGACCAGCCACACUGGGACUGAGACACGGCCCAGACUCCUACGGGAGGCAGCAGUGGGGAAUUUUCCGCAAUGGGCGAAAGCCUGACGGAGCAAUACCGCGUGAGGGAAGAAGGCUCUUGGGUUGUAAACCUCUUUUCUUAGGGAAGAACAAAGUGACGGUACCUAAGGAAUCAGCAUCGGCUAACUCCGUG
rnacentral:rRNA from 1 species